UACAGAGGUCCCAAGCGUUGUUCGGAUUCAUUGGGCGUAAAGGGUGCGUAGGCGGCGCGGUAAGUCGGGUGUGAAAUCUCGGAGCUUAACUCCGAAACUGCAUUCGAUACUGCCGUGCUUGAGGACUGGAGAGGAGACUGGAAUUUACGGUGUAGCGGUGAAAUGCGUAGAUAUCGUAAGGAAGACCAGUGGCGAAGGCGGGUCUCUGGACAGAUCCUGACGCUGAGGCACGAAGGUCAGGGGAGCAAACGGG
rnacentral:rRNA from 1 species